rnacentral:sRNA from 1 species
GUAGCGCUCUUAUUGAAAGACUCUAUAGAUGGAAGUCCUCCGACUCUUACUCCUCACCGGCAUGAUAAUGCGUUUUAUAUGUUUCUUAUAAUUUAAGACCGUCCGUUACCUAACCUUCCUGGCUGUUAUAGUCCCGAGACACUCCACGAUCUCAGAUCGGACCGUGCCAAUUCACGCAUUACUUGGUCACCCUGAUUAUCGCCUGCUGAGCAUGUUACGCUUUUCUAAAUCAGUGCAAUUCGGUAAUACCAGAGUUUCGUCAACCAAAUAAUGUACCGCUGCCCUUAGUAACUGGAACUCGACCUCAAGUGUUGUGUCUGUUAUCCAAUCAGAAACUUCGUCCAAUCCAUCCAGGGGCCGAAUAAGGGCAUACGUGAUCGAGUAAAACCGUUGACAUUUAAGAACGCGAAUGUUUAAGUAGAUCAUAAUUUAUAAAAAAAUUAUAUUGAAAUGUUUAUAAAAAUGGUGUAACAUCCAUUAAAUACGA